rnacentral:lncRNA from 1 species
AUUGCUUCAGUUAUUAAUAUAAUUGGUAAGAGUAAAAAUUCUUUUAAUGCUUUAAGUUAUAUGAUUUUAUAUUUUUCAAUUAUAAUUUUUUUUAUUCAGAAUUUUUACAUAUUAUUUUAUUAGCGUCAUAUAAAUCAAUCAUCCUUUUGAUAGAUAUCUUUAGCAUAUAUUUUUCCCAAAAUAGAAAUUUAUUUAAAAUUUUAAAUGCCAAAGGUGUUUAACAUUUUCUUUACAGGUAAAAGACGUAACCUGACUCUCUAGUCACGUAAAUGUCAUUCCGGUAUACUAAUUACACUAUGGGCGUAUUUUCUGGCUUGACAAAAUAUCGGAAGUCCCCUUUAAUAUCUUUACGUUUCACUAGGGGCGUUUUGUUCAAGAAAAACCCGCAGUGCGGAGGUUCAACUUUCUCUGUAUAUAUACUUUUCCCCCUUCUGCUUAUCCUCUGCCAGCAUUUUAUUUUGAGCUCAACGCGCUAUUCCAAAGAGCCAUACAAAAGCGAGUCCAAUGCCAAAAAAGACACCGAAUGUCUUCGUAGUUUCCGUGUAUGAAUUUCUUUGUUUUUCCUCUUAAAAAAAAACUAUUAAAUUAAAAUUGUUAAAAAGAUACACGAAAAGUAAAUAAUGUUAUUUCCAAAACAUCUAUAAAUCUGGGCUUAUACGAACUUAAGUAUCUGCGUCGAAUUUAAGUUCUGGUAUUUCAUAAACUACGUAAUGCUAACUAAUUAUAGAGUUAAAAGAAAAUUUCAACGAUUGUAUUAAGCUUCUAGUGAAUUGUUCCACUAUAAACAGUUUGGAAGAAAAGAAUUUGUGACAAAUAAACUUGUGGCCAUUUGCCAAUGCGAUCCGUUCCUAUGGUAUGCAGAACAUUGAUGUCAUGACUAAACUCUCUUGGAAUAGCAGACUAUGUUGCAACUGUUAUUCUACAUAUCUUUUAAUCGAGAACUGAUCAUCAAUCGGUUCUUUAUUGACUAAGUUACACGUUUAUUGCCUCAGAUGUUUUUGCGUGCCAUCAUUUUCAUUAAUAUAACUCAAUUGCGUGCAGCAGUUAUCAAAAUAAACACUUCAAAUGCAGUCAGGAUCAAAUUAAUAUCAUUUCUUUCUCGAGAUAAACUAAUAUUGUUUAUAAGUAGCGCUUUUUACGAAGAUAAUAUACUAAGGAAAGGAACCUAGUUUUUUUUUAAAUCCGUAUGAUUACAAUAAUAUUUAAUAUAUAUAUAUAUAAAAAAGCUUAUUUCAACGCACUAAGAUGCUAUGAGAGAUGAGAGAAAUCUGAAUGCCGUAAAUUUUAAGUGAAGAAAAUUAUUCUGUUUUGUUUGCAGCAAAUUGCAUGUAAAAAGAAAAAAAUAUUAUGAGAAAUUUCAUUGAUUAAAAAGUUUAAAAAAAAAAAACAAAUAAAGUAAACUGAGGGUCUGUAUAAAAGUAUUAAAAAAAAUUUAAGUUUGGCAUAAUACAAUGUUUAAUUUUAUUGCUAAAGUUUAGCCUAUAUAUAACUAUCAUUCUAAAGUUCGUUUGUUUAAUACAAAUUUGAAUAUUAUAUUUCAUCUUUUAAAUUAUUAUUCAAAGUAUUUUAUUGUUGCUUUAAAAUACUGUAUUAAACAUCUCCAGAUUCGCAAUUUCAGGCAUCAUCUCUCGAUUUAUCCGCAAUAAUAGCAUAAAUACGUUUUAAAGAAGUCAAGUUAGCUAUUUUGGCAUAGUGAAACUGGCCAGAAUAAGUAACCUGGAAUAGGUAAAUUGCUGUUUCACUGUACCACUGUGUUAUGUUACAUUACGCCAGUGUUUCAUCCGUUACUCUGGCUUCAUUAUUGUUAAUUAAUUUAUAUUAAUUAUUUUAAUAAGUUUAAUAAGUUAAAAUCUACAUAGAUUGCAUAUGAUCUGCUCUCGAGCGAUGCGCCUGUUUGCAUUCUUUCCUGAACUUAUUUCCUAGUGGAAGCCAUGUUUUUUGCUGGUGUUAAUGCGUUAUAUUAAGGUGCGCGAAUAGGCGCAUCGUUCGUGAGCAAUCAUGCCAUACUCCGAUAAUAGAAUUUGGUAUUUAAUAACGUGAGAAAGGUUAUGCUUUUUAUAUUCUAUAUAUAAAAUAUAGUGAAAAUCACAAUUGUUAAUAAUAAAAACGCAUUCGUGGACAAAUAUGCACAUUAUAGUAUUAACAACAAACAUUCUUAUUACCAAUAAGAUUUUAAAUUGGUUAACGUCAAUUUUUUUCUUAAUAUUUUUUUCAAAUAGGUGGACCAGAUAAGAUUGUUAUAUAAUUUCGGACACUUUUCCAAGUGAUUAUAAUCAUAACAUUUUCAAAAUACACAACAAAAUGAACUAUUUAAUCGAUAUUGUAAAAAUAUCAGAUAACUUUGAUUGCAAAUUUUCAGCAAAAAACAAUGAGCAAUGUGGUAAACAUCAAAUUAUUUGUCUUUUUGGUGUUAUUUUAUGAUAUACUACAUUGCGAAGCAAAUUUGGUAUAUCAUAAAAUAACUGAUCUCUUAUUAAGAUAUACCAUAUUUGCUUCGUAAUGUGGUAACCGAAGAAGAGAAUAGAUAUCUACUCUCUUCUUCGGUUUAAUCACAAAGAAAAUGCUUAGAAAGAUUUUUGAAAUGGGAUGACGUCUUUUUUAAGAAUAAGCAUUUUGUCUUCCAUAAUUAUUCGUAUAAAUUGUUGAAUAACAUUAAUUUGCGAUAUUAAAAACGUUCUAUAGAUCAAAAAUUUUAAAGUAGCGAGCAAGCAUAAAUCUAGCUUAUCUUUCAUCAUUAGAC